rnacentral:rRNA from 1 species
GAUGAACGCUGGCGGCGUGCCUAAUACAUGCAAGUCGAGCGAACGGACGAGAAGCUUGCUUCUCUGAUGUUAGCGGCGGAGGGGUGAGUAACACGUGGAUAACCUACCUAUAAGACUGGGAUAACUUCGGGAAACCGGAGCCAAUACCGGAUAAUAUUUUGAACCGCAUGGUUCAAAAGUGAAAGACGGUCUUGCUGUCACUUAUAGAUGGAUCCGCGCUGCAUUAGCUAGUUGGUAAGGUAACGGCUUACCAAGGCAACGAUGCAUAGCCGACCUGAGAGGGUGAUCGGCCACACUGGAACUGAGACACGGUCCAGACUCCUACGGGAGGCAGCAGUAGGGAAUCUUCCGCAAUGGGCGAAAGCCUGACGGAGCAACGCCGCGUGAGUGAUGAAGGUCUUCGGAUCGUAAAACUCUGUUAUUAGGGAAGAACAUAUGUGUAAGUAACUGUGCACAUCUUGACGGUACCUAAUCAGAAAGCCACGGCUAACUACGUGCCAGCAGCCGCGGUAAUACGUAGGUGGCAAGCGUUAUCCGGAAUUAUUGGGCGUAAAGCGCGCGUAGGCGGUUUUUUAAGUCUGAUGUGAAAGCCCACGGCUCAACCGUGGAGGGUCAUUGGAAACUGGAAAACUUGAGUGCAGAAGAGGAAAGUGGAAUUCCAUGUGUAGCGGUGAAAUGCGCAGAGAUAUGGAGGAACACCAGUGGCGAAGGCGACUUUCUGGUCUGUAACUGACGCUGAUGUGCGAAAGCGUGGGGAUCAAACAGGAUUAGAUACCCUGGUAGUCCACGCCGUAAACGAUGAGUGCUAAGUGUUAGGGGGUUUCCGCCCCUUAGUGCUGCAGCUAACGCAUUAAGCACUCCGCCUGGGGAGUACGACCGCAAGGUUGAAACUCAAAGGAAUUGACGGGGACCCGCACAAGCGGUGGAGCAUGUGGUUUAAUUCGAAGCAACGCGAAGAACCUUACCAAAUCUUGACAUCCUUUGACAACUCUAGAGAUAGAGCUUUCCCCUUCGGGGGACAAAGUGACAGGUGGUGCAUGGUUGUCGUCAGCUCGUGUCGUGAGAUGUUGGGUUAAGUCCCGCAACGAGCGCAACCCUUAAGCUUAGUUGCCAUCAUUAAGUUGGGCACUCUAAGUUGACUGCCGGUGACAAACCGGAGGAAGGUGGGGAUGACGUCAAAUCAUCAUGCCCCUUAUGAUUUGGGCUACACACGUGCUACAAUGGACAAUACAAAGGGCAGCGAAACCGCGAGGUCAAGCAAAUCCCAUAAAGUUGUUCUCAGUUCGGAUUGUAGUCUGCAACUCGACUACAUGAAGCUGGAAUCGCUAGUAAUCGUAGAUCAGCAUGCUACGGUGAAUACGUUCCCGGGUCU